rnacentral:rRNA from 1 species
GAAAAAGAACCUGAAACCGUGUACGUACAAGCAGUGGGAGCACGCUUAGGCGUGUGACUGCGUACCUUUUGUAUAAUGGGUCAGCGACUUAUAUUCUGUAGCAAGGUUAACCGAAUAGGGGAGCCGAAGGGAAACCGAGUCUUAACUGGGCGUUAAGUUGCAGGGUAUAGACCCGAAACCCGGUGAUCUAGCCAUGGGCAGGUUGAAGGUUGGGUAACACUAACUGGAGGACCGAACCGACUAAUGUUGAAAAAUUAGCGGAUGACUUGUGGCUGGGGGUGAAAGGCCAAUCAAACCGGGAGAUAGCUGGUUCUCCCCGAAAGCUAUUUAGGUAGCGCCUCGUGAAUUCAUCUCCGGGGGUAGAGCACUGUUUCGGCAAGGGGGUCAUCCCGACUUACCAACCCGAUGCAAACUGCGAAUACCGGAGAAUGUUAUCACGGGAGACACACGGCGGGUGCUAACGUCCGUCGUGAAGAGGGAAACAACCCAGACCGCCAGCUAAGGUCCCAAAGUCAUGGUUAAGUGGGAAACGAUGUGGGAAGGCCCAGACAGCCAGGAUGUUGGCUUAGAAGCAGCCAUCAUUUAAAGAAAGCGUAAUAGCUCACUGGUCGAGUCGGCCUGCGCGGAAGAUGUAACGGGGCUAAACCAUG